rnacentral:lncRNA from 1 species
GAGAAACAAGUUGGAUGACCUAACAUCCUGUUAGAGACUGGCUGGAAGAGGAACCCAGAAGUAGACUGCACUGUUUGACCCUCACCGGUCGGUCGUAUGCAGAGUGGUUGUGUUCUUGAGCUGAGGAAUGCCGGCCUUGUUGCCUGUUUGGCUUUGAUUACAGUAUUUGUAGCAGAAUGUUGCUAUGGAGAUUCAUGCCAGGUACGCAGUGGGAGGUGAUCUAGAAGACCGUGUGCCAGCCACUCGUAGGUAAUCACUGGCGCUCAGAACAUGCUGAGACAAGAGUUCUCGUUGGUUUAUUUCCUUCCCCAGCUGUGUGAGUUUUCAGAUUUCAUCAUUGGAAAUGAUGUCUUACCCAAUGAUACAAAAGCAGAGGAAAUGCCUUUGUAGAAUUUCUUCCAAGGGAAGAAUGAAAGUAGAGAGGUGACUUAGCUUAGCUUUGUUGUCUCUAGAAUACGUUACAGUGUGUCAAGGGAAGGCUUUUCAAAGUAUUUGUCAAGGGAUUGUGAGGAACGUAGUCCAUUACUUUGUCAAAGAGUUUAUGUGAAAAGUAGAUAUUUGAAUAAUUUCUUAUAUUUCAAGCAGCGUUACAGCUAAUGUUUCUUUUAAAUCAAACCUUUUAUCUCCAAGGUUAACUAAUGGCACCUCGAGGUUACAUCUGCAGCCCAGUGUCUAGGAUAGUAGAGGAACAUAGUGCAAAUUCAUGUUUGUCAUCAGAGCUGGGUGUGGUGGCUGACACCUGUAAAUCCAGCUACUCCGAAGGCUGAGGUGGGAGGAUCUCUUGAGCCCCAUGAGUUUGAGACCAGCCUGGGCGACAUAGUGAGACCCUGUCUAAAAGAAAAAAAACAAAAGUGGUCUAACAUGUUUGCCAUCAGACAGUAGUUUUCAUUAAUGUGAACAUGACUGAGGUCAAGAAGUUUAUUCAUGUACCCAGCCUUUGCGGAGCAUCUGUGGUGUGCCACUUGGGGGAUGUGAAACCAGUAAACCACAUAGUUUUCAUCAUUUAGGAUCAUGCAGGUGUACAGGGUACAUGUGAAACAGUAGUGAGGCCCACACACUGGUGGGGGGAGAUCCAGUAAGCCUUUGGAAGGUGGGGGGUCAGCAGGGAGUGUUUCCUGGAGAAGAUGAAUGACUCAUAAGUUAUGAUUCAGAGAAUGAGUUAAGAGUUAGCCAGGUAAUGAGGGAGAAGGGCUCCCAGGCAUAUGGGAGGAACAAAGGCACUUAGGGAAGAAGCCGGGACAGAGUGUGUGUGCAUACAGGAAUAUUAUAAGUAUUGCUGGAGGGACCAGGGCAGGGUGUAGUGGGGGCUGAGGCCCAAAAGGCAGUCAGGGACCAGAUGGCCUCAUAUGCCCUGUUAAGGAGCUUGGGCUUGAUCCUCUAGGCAGGGAGCCGUUGGAGGAUUUAAGCCAGGGAGUGCUGCGGUUGGUCACACUCGCCAUUUAUGUAGAUCGUUUUGGCAGCCAGGGGAAGGAUGGAUUUGAGGGGGAUGAGAUUAGAAAGCUGGGAUAUGAGUUAGGAGGCUGAAAGAUGGUUGAUAAAAAUGAUCGUUGGGCAGCCGAGAUAACUGACUUCAAGGACAUAUACUGGACUUAUAGCAGAGCCUGUUGAGUCUUGCUUUUGCACACAGUUCAAAUAAUCACUUAGUCAUGUGGUUUAUCUGCCAGUGGCAAAUGUUAAGACUGUGGGGAAAAACUAGAAGAACCAAUAACAUCAUCAAGAAAUAAGUGAUAGGAGGCAAAAGUCAUAAAAGCCGUACAAAAAUUGGAAAGUUGACUGUUGAAGCAUCGUGGUUAAGACAGGAUUUGGGUUGCUAGGAAACUUUGGGGCAAGUAUUUAACCUUCCUAAGUGUCAGUUUCCUCCUCUUUAAAAUGGGAGUUAGUAAUACCAUCCUUAUUGAGUUAUUCUGAGGAUUAAAUAAGAUGAUGCGUAUAAACUAUUUUACACCAUGCCUGGCAAGAAAACCCAGUAAGUGGAAGCUGUUACUGUGAAUACAUUUUGUGGCCUUUUGAUUAGGGUAGUGUUUUCCUUAGAUCUCUAAUUUUGUGGAUGUUAAUUGUAUUAUAAUUACAUUAAAAAGAGUUCCAUGGUAAAUCAAUUUGGGAAUUAAAGAGGGGUUUGUUUUUUUGAGACAGGGUCUCUGUCGCCCAGGCUAGAGCAUGGUGGUGUGACCAUAGUUCACUGCAGCCUCCAUCAAACGAGCCUCCUGAGUAGCUGGGAUUACGGGCGCUUGCCACUACGCCUGGCUGACUUUUUUGAUUUCUAGUGUAGAUGAGGUCUUGCUAUGGUUUCCUAGGCUGUUCUCAAACUCCUGAGCUCAAGCAAUCCUUCUGCCUUGGCCUCUCGAGUGUUGGGAUUGUAGGCGUGAGCCACCACACCGGCCAAGAGAGGUUUUGUUUCUUCUGCUAGAGUGUGGUGAAGCUCCAGAGGGGCAGCCUACACAGUAUUUCUCGUUCACACUUGAUUGCAACUCUUAGAAAAGCUCACAGGACUGAGUCCUUGGGGGCACACUUUGGCAAAUGCUUAUUUAGGGGAGAAACAUACCCAUCUGCUUCCAUAGCCCAAGAGUAUUGCUCUAUCAGAGACAGCACCAUAGUCACUUGAUAUUCAUAAGGACAAUUCUAGAUCAUCAAGGAAAGCUACCUUAGUUUCAUGUACUCUGUUUAAGAAGGCAGGGAAGUAUAAUAGUAUGUUUUAUUUCUGAUCCCAACUAAUCAAACUUUUAAAAAUAAUGUUUUACGGCCGGGCGCGGUGGCUCACGCCUGUAAUCCCAGCACUUUGGGAGGCCGAGGCGGGCGGAUCAUGAGGUCAGGAGAUCGAGACCAUCCUGGCUAACACGGUGAAACCCCGUCUCUACUAAAAAUACAAAAAAUUAGCCGGGCGUGGUAGCGGGCGCCUGUAGUCCCAGCUACUCGGGAGGCUGAGGCAGGAGAAUGGCGUGAACCCGGGAGGCGGAGCUUGCAGUGAGCCGAGAUCGCGCCACUGCACUCCAGCCUGGGCGACAGAGCGAGACUCCGUCUCAAAAAAAAAAAAAAAAAAAAAUAAUAAUAAUAAUGUUUUACAUGUUUAUUAUAGAAAAUUUGGAAAACACAACCAUAAAGAAGAAAAGUGUAAUCACAUCAUAUCACUACCCAGAGAUAAACACUGUUAACAAAGCAUUUAAGUUUUUUUCCUUUGUUGUUCCCUUUUGGGAUGAUUUUUUAGAGUUUUUGUAGAGUUUUUGUUUGAUUUUAACCUAAAGUUAUACUCUGGGUAUUUUCUUAUUUUUUAAAUCAGAAUAUUCUUACAUGACAUGAUUUUUAACAGCUAUGUGAUCUUUCAUGUGGAUAUGUCAUUUAUAUAACCAUUCCUUUAUUGGAUAUUUAGGCACUUUUUUGCUGUCAUAAAUUAUAAUGCAGUUAACAUCUUUGAAAUCUGUUUAAAACAAAUACGUUAAAGUGAUCAACAUUUAACUUUUUUUUUUUUUAGUAAGUCUUAAGUGUCUAGGCAGUUUUUAGGUAAAAUAUCUGAUCCCCUACAUGAAAUAUGAUUAUAUAGUUUUUUAAUUACGAAAUUUCAGUGGAGUAAUCUCAACAGAUUCUCUUUUGACUAAUCCCUUUUUUCCCUAACCACAGACUGAAAAAAAAAAUUCCAUUAUUAGAAUAGCAUUUUCUCAUUUAAACGGAAUAGAAGAUGAGUAAUUGGAGUCACGUGAGAGUUAAAUUUUAUCUGUUGAACCAAAUUCCGGGUCAGGUGUUGGAAAGUUCAUGUCAUGAUGUAUUUUAAAUGUAAAAACAAAAUUGUCAAAAGAUACAGUCUUAAUAAACAUAAAUCCAGGGUCCACCUGGAUAGGCACUUUCUUAUUUGCACCUGUGUAAAGACUGGUCCGAAGAAUUCUUAGACAUGAAUUUCCAGAAAUUGUAAAAAGGAAAUAGAGAUGAGGGGGAAAAAACAAACAAUAAAACCCGAAGCUCUUCCUAAACAAAUGAAUGCUUUGGUUGUUGGUCCUGGCCAGAAACUAUUAAUAAGAAAAUCAGAAUUUUAGGAAUUCUGUCUUCCGUAAGCUGGUUUUUUUUUUGAGAUGGGAGGGGAGUAGAAGCUAUUAACUGACACCCCUCAUGGUCAGGUGGUCAUGACUAGGUAUCUGGACAUUUCUGCUCCUACACUGGAAUCUCAUACUUACACAGGAUCAAAUGUGUUCACUCCCAGAUCUGUUCAUUCUGGUUUUAUUACAAUAGUUCUAUGAUUUCAUUAAAUCCUGGGGCAACUGGAUUUUUGCAUGAGUGCAAAGAGAAAGUUAUUUCUACAAAAACUGUCAACUGAGUGCUUUGGAAAGCAUAGAUAUAAAUUGAUUCUCUUGAAAGAAAACUUGGUGGUGAAUUAGGUCUGGACUAGAUAGGGGAAGUGGAAGAAUUCCCAAAGGACUCGGACUCUGCCCUGAUUGCUUAUCCGGUGUCCAGUUCCCACCCCACAGGAAAAGGCGUGGCCUAUUGGAAAAAGAACUUCUAGUGGACCCCUUCCCUUAAGAAAAGACCUUUACCUUAAAUGAAACAUUGACAACAGAUUUUUAAAAUGCUUAGUGUGUGCUUUAACCAAACUGCUCAGUUACAGGGACCUAACUGGUUCUGAUGAUGUGGAGUGGAGGGCUCCGCUGUGCAUUUCCUGGCCUUUACUGCUGAGAUUCUAAUUCGGAAGGCCUAGGAUAGGGCCAGAGGACAAAGGCAGUUAACUUUGUGAUCUGUGUGGGUGUCCCAUCUUGUCUUCUGAUCCUCACUCCUGCCCUCCUUCCUCCAAGGUCUCCAGUUAUUCUGAAGCCAGUUAGGACAUUUUAUAACAUAUGCCAGUUAUCAGAACCAUUGACACCUGUUAGUAUAUUUCUUUAUUACUGACACCAUUAUCCACAUUAUAAGUCCAAGAAGAAGGGAGAGCUUGUUUUUCCUCUGAGUAUUAGAAAAUAUGUCUUCUGGCCAGGCACGGUGGCUCACGCCUGUAAUCCCCAGCACUUUGGGAGGCCAAGGCAGGCGGAUCACGAGGUCAAGAGAUCGAGACCAUCCUGGCCAACAUGGUGAAACCCCAUCUCUACUAAAAAUACAAAAAUUAGCUGGAUGUGGUGGUGCACACCUGUAGUCUCAGCUACUUGGGAGGCUGAGGCUGGUUGAACCCAGGAGGCAGAGGUUGCAGUGAGCUGAGAUCGUGCCACUGCACUCCAGCCUGGUGACAGAGUGAGACUCUUGUCUCAAAAAAAAGAAAAAAGAAAAGAAAAUAUGUCUUCUAGGAAAAACCAAACCCUCUCCUGGUAAGUUGUGCCUGCCAGCCCUAGAAACUGUCAAGUGUGUCACUUUCCAUCUUACCUAGGAAUAGUCCAUUUAUUUUCGAGCCUAGCUUUUUGUGUUUCUGUGGUUAGCUGCACUCACACGUACCAAUUUUUAGAUUCACGUCAGCUACAUAUGGAGGGGAUCGUUUGAGUCUAGAUCUCACUGUCUGUUCCUUUUCGAGGGAAGCAAGUUUUCUCUCAAGAAGGAUUUUGAUGUCUCCGAUAAAAAUAGCUAUCUUUAUUAAUCUAAUAGUUGGAAGUUAGAGGUUCUGUGUGUGGAGUGGGUUGUUUGGUGGAACAUUCGAUAAGCAGCUGGUAAGUUUCCUUCCUGAGUGGGCUGUAGCCUUGGAGAUGGUUUCACACAACCCCCAGGAUUGUCGUAUUUUAGGACUGUUUCAUAAUGUUCUCCGAUUCUUUAACUAUAUUUCUGUAUUUGCAGAUCUUUUAAUUUUGUCAACAUGUUAAUAGUCCAACUCCGCAACUGUUAAGUUUGUUUCAGUAAAACUGAAGAUUUGAAUUAAGCCACAUUAAUGUGUUUACAGCACAUCUAAGGGCCAUCGUAGGCUUGGGUUACAGGCUUCACCUGAAGACCUGAAUUCAGGUGGAGACUGGUGAAAUUAGUUUGUCAUUGGGAAUAUCUUUUUACUGAAUGAAGGUGAAUUUGGACUUUUAAAUAACCUAGCCUUUAAUGUAAAGCUCAAACUCAAAUUGCAUGUUACUUUGGUGAAAUUUACCUUGAAAUUAGUUGGUGUGAUAAAUCAAGUAUAGUAAAAUAAAAAGAGAUGCAGUUAACCUAGCUGAAUGUAUGGCAGCCUUUCUUUAUCAAACCUAACCCAUAAGCCUGCUGCAUUUAAGGUCUUAAUGCAAUUUGAGAAUAUUUCUAGUAGUAGAAUAGUACAAAAGCUAAGAUUUGUUUUAUUCCUUUUCUUUGUGUUAUAGAUAACUUUGAAUUUAAUUUUAUCUGGAGAGGAAAAGGUGAAAAUCAAAUUUCCCACCAAAAGGAACUAGUAUUCCUUUGAGAAGGGCCAGCUAAGCUUGGGGGCAGCAAAUGUACAGGAUUGGUCUUAGACAUAUUUUACUGGAGAGCAGGGCAGCAGUGGUGUCCCAGAACAGCCUUUUAUCAGAGAUAAAAACUUCAUUACUUCAUAAUGAUACUCCCAAAAAGCUUAUUGGUCAUUUUUGGAGUUUGCUCAGGUAUGAACUCAGUCUUCCAAAAGUUGGUUUAAAAAGAAAAAAAAAAGAACCAAGCAUUUAUCCAGCUUUUCCUAUAUAAACUGUAUUUCAUGUAGUCAAAUAGAUGAGGCAAAAAGUUUUUUAUAGAAGAAAUUGAGCCAACACAUGCAGAGGAUGAUAUUAAAGGAUUAUUGUGAAUUUUGCUAAAUGUGAUUAUGGCAUUGUAGCUAGGGUUAAAAAGUUCUUACCUGUUAGAAAUAUAAAAUUUUUAAGCAUGAAUGAUGAUGCUCGAAGUUUGCUUUAAACUACUUUUAAAAAAAAGCGGGAAUAUAGAUGAAGAUUGGCAAAUGUUGCUAAUUGUCGAACCUAGGAGACGGUUAUACAUAGUUUCAUCAUACUCAUCUCUCUACCUUUACUUUUUGAAAGUAUCUUCUAUAAAAGGUUUUUUUAAAAAAGGUAUAAAUAGGAAUGAACCUUAGAUGAUUGUUGUUAUAACAUGAAAAUAGAGAAAUAGUAAACUAGUAAAUUUCCAUUUGAUCCUCUGCUGGAGUGUAGUGGUGUGAUUACAGCCCACUGCGGUCUUGCCUUCCCUGGCUCAAGCAAGCCUCCUUCCUCAGCCUCCCAGUAGUUGGGACCACAGGUGCAUGCUGCCAUGGCUGGCUCAUUUUUUAUUUUUUGUAGAGAUGGGGUCUUACUUUAUUGCUCAGGCUGUUCUCCAACCAACUCCUGGGCUUAAACAAUCUGCCUGCCUGGGCCUCCCAGAGUGCUGGGUUUACAGCCAUGAGCCACCAUACCUGGCAUAAUUUAUUUUUAGAGAUAGGGUCUCACCAUGUUGCCUAGACUGGCCUUGAACUCCUAGGCUCAAGUGAUCCUCUUGCUUCAGCCUCCCAAGUAACUGGGGCUACAGGCGUGAGCCACUGCACAGUAGUUAAGAUCGCAGCUCUGGAGGGAGUUACUAGCAGUUGUAACUUUGACAGCUCGUUUAACCUUCCUAAGAUUGUGUUUCCUGUCUCUUGAGUAAAAUGAGGACAAAUUUGUCUCACUGUCACAGAGGAUAGAAUGGAGACAGUGGAACUAAGAGAAGGUGGCACAUGCUAGCUAUGCUCAACAAAUGUCAGCAAAUUUUGUUGAAAUGUGGAAGAUACUGACAAGAGCAAAGUUUUCAGAUCAGCACCAGUAACUUGUCUUACUUAAACCGUUAAAAUCACAUCUGUUUUGAUUUUUCCCCUUUUUCUCUUUUGAGCCUUUUAUUGGAAGAGCAGAUGCAGUCUGUGCGGGUAUGCAGUGCUGCAGUACGAAGUGAAUGGCACCCCCUGGAGUUGGGCAGUGCACAACGCUCAGUGCCUUACGUAGGAGGAUGGGCUUGACUGAGACUCUGAGCCAGACUCCCUGUGAUGAUGGUGUCUCCCCCGAGCCUGGCACACAGAGGUGCUUCCCAAGUAUUUCUUGUAUGAAUGAACGAACAGAUGAAUGGGCCAACCACUGUGCUGGAGCAUGUCAUUGUGGCCCUGAUGAGCUGUAGAAAUGGAAGCUUGGGAUUAGGGUUUUUCUGUGUGUGUGUCGUGUUUGUUUUUUUUUUUUCCUUUCUGUGGAGAUCAGUGCCUCACUCCGUUGCCUAGGCUGGUCUUGGUCUCCUGGGCUCAAGCAAUCCUCCUGCCUCUACCUUCCUUAGUGCUAGAAUGACAGGCGUGAGCUACUGCACCGGUGUGUAAAUUACACGUGUAAAUAUAGUGGCUUCGAGGCUCUCAUGACAGUAAUGCUACUCUAACAUUCUGAUAUGCUUUCUAAGUGGGAGAGGGCUGAUUUCAGUGAAGAGAAGCGUCGCACAAAGCCAGCUUGUGUCUGUGUCUCCGUGUGUGUUUUGUGUCUCAUGUUUCACCACAGUUAAUGGGUAGCUUCGCUUUCCAGCCAUCAGUGUCAUCAUCUUCAUUUUUCCCCCUUUCCAUUUCACUGCCAAACUGUUAUCACUGCUGGAGUAAAAGCUAGGAAUGCAAGUAGUUUCCCAGUUUAUAGCUGGUUGUAUCAACCCAUGACGUUACUGUUUAUGAAUUUGAACAUUCAAAAAGGCUAAUCUUCAAAAAAGCUUAGCAGGAUUUUCACAAUGACUGACAGAUAGUGUCCUGAGGCCCCAAUUAUGAAGAUUCUUAUGGUUAAAAUUGAGCAAGUUUUUUUUGGAGUACAUUGGCACGAUCUCGGCUCACUGUAGCCUCUGACUCCUGGGUUCAAGUGAUUCUCCUGCCUGCCUCAGCCUCCCAAGUAGCUGAGACUACAGGCGCACACCACCAUGCCUGGCUAAUUUUUGUAGUUUUAGCAGAAACGGGGUUUCACCAUGUUGGCCAGGCUGGUCUCCAAUGCCUGACCUCAAGUGAUCCGCCCGCCUCGGUCUCUCAAAGUGCUGGGAUUAUAGGCGUGAGCCACCGAGCCCAAUCAAGCAAGUAUUUAGCUAUGUGCCUGUGUUAGCCUGGGUACUGCGCUAGGUUCUGGGCACAGGGGAAUGAUUAAGACAUGGUUCUACUCUUAAGGGGCUUUAUGGUCACCAUUAAAAGAGUGGAUGUGAGCUCAAGUGUCAUUUUGUGUCAUGGGGUAAACUGUUCUAACUAUUUCAGUCAGGCUUCUGGCAAGACAUGGCACAGUCAGCAUGAGGGAUUGGUGAGGAGUUGAAUAAAGGGAUUCCCCACAAGGAGAGGGCAGCGUGGAGACCCCCAAAGCCUGAUGCAGGAUUAGCAACAGCCAUGCACUUCUCACUUCCAGGCCUGCGGGAGGGGCAGAGGAGAGGGCUGCCUUGGAGGAAGGGAGGGUUGGAGGACCUGGCCCAGCUGCAGCCGCACCUCAGCGAGGCAACCCGGGGAACACUCCCCAUCUCCGCUGUCCCUUUUCAUCUUCCUCCUACUGUUGAUCCUCAUUGCUGAAUCCAACCAGAACCUGAGGGUGAGUGUCCGGGUGAAGGGUUGGUAUAGGUCAGCCAGGUGGCUGCUGGGGCACAGAGCAGGAUAGACAGUGGUUUUCAAGAACAGGUGGAAGAUUCCAGCACUGUACUAGUCCUGUGGCUGCUGUAACAUGACCACAAACUGGGCAGCUUGCAACAACAGAAACUUAAUUCUGUCACAGCUCUGGAGGCCAGAAGUCUGAAAUCAGGGUACCCUGUUCCCUCUGGAGGCUCUAGGGGAGGACUCUUCUUUGCCGCUUCCAGCUUCUCAUGUGUGCUGGCGUCCUGGGCUUGUGACCACAUCAUGCUGCCCCCGUCUUCACAUGGCUUUCACGUCUGCCUCUGUCUUCUCCAUGUGUCUCUUAAAAGGACUCUUGUCGGCCGGGCAGGGUGGCUCACGCAUGUAAUUCUAACACUUUGGGAGGCCAAGGCGGGCAGAUCACUUGAGGCCAGGAGUUUGAGACCAGCCUGGCCAACAUGGUAAAACCCCGUCUCUACUGAAAACACAAAAAUUAGCCAGGUGUGGUGGCAUGCGCCUGUAAUCCCAGCUACUCAGGAGGCUGAGGCAGGAGAAUCUGAGGCAGGAGAAUCGCUUGAACCUGGGAGGCGGAGGUUGUAGUGAGCCGAGAUUGCCCCACUGCACUCCAACCUGGGUGACAGAGCCAGACUGCCUCAAAAAAAAAAAAAAAAAAAAAAAGGACUCUUGUCAUUGGAUUAGGGCCACCUAGAUGAUUAAAGAUGAUUGUUUCAUUUCCAGAUACUUCAUUACAUUUGCAAAGACCUUUUUUCCAAUAAAUGUAGGUUCUAGAGAUUAGGGUGUAGACACAUCUUUUUGGGGGAGGGGGGCACACCAUUCAGCACACCACAAGCAUCCUGUCACUCCCAGGAGACUUACAACACCUUCGUGACACAGCAGUGGACAGGUUUUUUGUUUUGUUUUGUUUUUCUUUCUUUUCUUUUUUUUUUUUUUUUUGAGACGGAGUCUCCCUCUGUCACCAGGCUGGAGUGUAGUGGCACAAUCUUGGCUCACUGCAACCUCUGCCUCCCGGGUUCAAGCGAUUCUCUUGCCUCAGCCUCCUGAGUAGCUGGGACUACAGGCGGGCACCACCCUGCCCAGCUAAUUUUUGUAUUUUUAGUAGAGAUGGGGUUUCACCAUGUUGGCCGGGGUGGUCUUGAUCUCUUGACCUCGUGACCCACCUGCCUCGGCCUCCCAAAGUGCUGGGAUUACAGGCGUAAGCCACCGCACCCGGUCUAGCAGUGGACAGAUUUUAUGAUUCUGUUUGUCAUAUUUAGUAGCUGCACUCUCCUAAGGAAAGGAACCUCACCUUCCUGUUCACUUUUCUGUCUCCAUUGCCUGUACUUCCAGAGCCAGCCCGUGAUGAUGCCUGAAAAAAUUUUUUUUGAUGUAUGAAUAGAUGAACAAACAAGCACAGAAGAAUACAGUGUGAAUACAGUGAAGCCAGAGGUGUACUCUGCGAAUACAUGAGACACCCUUGAGUGGAAUGGUUUCAGUAGAUGGAUUGUAUGAGGUGUGAAUUGUAUCUCAAUCAAGCGGGGCCUCAGGGAGUGCCCACCACUAAGGGUCUAGCUCUGUGUGGCGUUGGUGGGGCUGGGGAAGGUUUAGAAAAGGUUCCGUUGCUAAGACCUUGGUUAGGGUAGAGUUUGCAGCAGAGAUUUGGAUAGGAGGGCGUUCCAGGCUGAAGAGCCAGUGUGAGCAGAGUCUUUGUGGGAAGAACAUUUUAUAUUCCUGGACCUAAUGCUUGUUUAACAAGAUGCUUGCUUGUGGCUGGGCGCAGUGGCUCAAGCCUGUAAUCCCAGCACUUUGGGAGGCUGAGGCAAGAGGAUCGCUUGAGCUCAGGAGGUCAAGGUUGCAGUGAGCCAUGAUUGCACCACUGCAUGUCAGCCUGCGUGAUAGAACAAGACCCUGUCUCAAAAAAUAAAAAAUGACAAUAAAGAUUGCUUGUUAAAUAAAAUGUGAUUUAUUUACUUUGCAUAAAUACUAUGCCUUCUGAGAAUGCUGUAGGUGCGGGCAUAUUUUGUUUUUAUCCUAACGCAGCCCAAAUUCCAAGUACACACUGGAUUUUGAGCAUUUAAAGGACUUCCGGUGCUAUUAAGGAUUCCCAUUUGUUUGUUCAAGUUUGCUAAACGAAUUCAGUCAUGUCACUUACUUAGUUGUUGUAAGUAUUAUAUUACAGUGUGAAGGGGGUAAAAAGAACUGCUAUGAGUAUCUUUCCAUGAAGAAGAUUUAGCUUGGAAAUGUGGGCAGAUUUGUCUGCCUUUGUGUUUAGGAAGGCACAAUUAUAAUUACAGGUGGAGGAGCUAGACACUGGCCAGCUGGAAUCAGAAUUUCACAUUGUAGAAGUGUCUGGUCUGGAAAGCAUCCAUGGGAAACCUACACCCUUGACCCAGCAUUGGCCACAGAGCUGCAGGCGGUCUCCUGCCUCUGCCUCUGCCCCUGCGUGCCUCUCCUUUGUAGCAGCCGUGGCAUAUGCAGAGGGGACUGUAGAUCUCUUUUCUUUCUUGCUGACUUUAUUUUCUACCACACUCCCCCAACCCAAAUAAAGAAAUAAUGACAUGUGCAUUUGAGAUAGUGUGUGUGUUUUUUUUUUUUCUCUUUCUGAGAUGGAGUCUUACUCUGUUGCCCAGGCUGAAGUGCAGUGGUACAAUCUUAGCUCACUGCAACCUCUGCUUCCCAGGUUCAAGCAACUCUCAUGCCUCAGCCUCCCCAGUAGCUGGGAUUAUAGGCACCCGCCACCACAGCUGGCUAAUUUUUUUGUAUUUUUAGUAGAGGUGGGGCUUCAUCAUUUUGGCUAGGCUGGUCUCGAACUCCUGACCUCAAGUGAUCCAUCCGCCUUGGCCUCCCAAAGUGCUGGGAUUACAGGUACGAGCCACCGUGCCCAGCCAGACUGUGUGUUCUGAGAGAGUUACAUAUAUUAAUGUAAGCAUCCCAAGAGAUAAAAAGAGACCUCCACAUUUCUGCCUGGAUAAGUAUAUAUAAGAUACUUUUUUUUAACUUAAAACAGAAAAACCCUUUCUCUACAAAGUUAUGCGUGCUUGCUCUAAUGAAUCAAACACUGUGAUAGUUAAAAGUAGAAAGUGGAAAGUAAAAAAAUCAUACCACUCGGGCUGCUGCUGUUACCCUGGGGUGAGCAUGCUUCCAGAGAGUUCUCUGUGCUCAUGCACGGAUAGGUGGGCAGAAAUAAGUUUAGACAAGCCAGGUCCUACUACAAAUGCUGUAAUCAGGCAUCUCAUUUUUCUUCACUUAUGAGAAGUAAUGGAAACUGAAGUGAAACUGAGUAAAUUUAUAAGAAUGUUUCUUUACCACAGAGAGAUUAUUUCCUGAAAAGACUUUUCUAUGGUUAACAAAAAGGAUCAUGAGAAUGAUCAAGAGGUUGGCAUCACUGUUUUCAAUUUCAGGUAUCUGUUGGUGCCUACCAUGAAACAAAGACAGUGGCAACUUAAGAUUUUUUUUUUUUUUUUUUUUUAGUUUGAUGGUUCCUAAAAUACCUCUCUAAGCAUUCUCAGAUUUACUGUACAGAUUUGGUCACAGACAUUGAGGCUGGAAUCAGUCGGAGAGGGGUGGAGAGCCGGGUGUAUGUGGCCGGAGUGGCUGCCAUCUGGGCCUUGCUGAGUGGUGUAUGCUGCGCCUGUGGAGGCCUCCCGGGCCUGUCCUGGCCAAUUUGCCUUUGCUUUGCAAAUGAACAAAGCUGUUGUUUCUCCUCCCCCCUUUUUUUUUCCAACUGUAACAAUGAAAAGAUUGAGGAAAGAGUUUCUACAUUGAUUGUAGCAUCCAAGGUGUGUUCUGGGGCAGGUUUUGAGUGUUAAAAAGUUUUAUCCAAUGCUUAAGAAAAGACAUUCACCUUCAGCACAUGCAUCCUGGCCAUUGUCCCUACUGCCAUUAUCCUGCAGGAUGCUGUGGGUAUUCUCUGGGUGGCCACUUAGAAUUUACUGUAUUUGUCUGGGUGUGGUGGCUCAUGCUUGUAAUCCUAGAACUUUGGGAGGCCGAGGCAGGGAGAUUACUUGAGGUCAGGAGUUCAAGACCAACCUGGCUAAUGUGGCAAAACCUCGUCUCUACUAAAAAUACAAAAAAAAAAAAAAAAAAAAAAAUUAGCCAGGUGUGGUACACACCUGUAAUCCCAGCUACUUGAGAGGCUGAGGCACGGGAAUUGCUUGAACCUGGCAGGCGGAGGCUGCAGUGAGCUGAGAUCACGCCACUGCAUUCCAGUCUCGGUGACAGAGCGAGACUCUGUCUCAAUUUAAAAAAAAAGUUAUCGUAUUUAUAUGAAAACAUCUGAAUACCCAAAGGAUAUUUAAAAAAUCACUGCCAGUUUAACAGUCCUCAGUUGGAGUUUUUUUUUUUUUUUUUUUUUUUUUUUUUUUUUUGAGACGGAGUUUCACUCUUGUUGCCCAGGCUGGAGUGCAGUGGCGCGAUCUUGGCUCACUGCAACCUCUGCCUCCCAAGUUCAAGUGAUUCUUCUGCCUCAGCCUCCGAGUAGCUGGGAUUACAGGCAUGUGCCACCAUGCCCGGCUAAUUUUGUAUUUUUCUUAGAGAAGGGGUCUCUCCAUGUUGGUCAGGCUGGUCUUGAACUCCUAACCUCAGGUGAUCUGCCUGCCUCAGCCUCCCAAAGUGCUGGGAUUACAGGUGUGAGCCACCGCACUCGGCCUCAGUUGGAGUUUUAUUUGGCCUCUUUUGAUGCCUGGUGGCUUAUGUGUGUCCUAUACAAAACAAAUUGCCUUUUUUCCCCAGACCCCAGAAAUGUGGACACGUGAGUUGUCUUUAUUAUAGUCCACGCUUUCCUUGUGUUCUUCUCCUCUAGGACUUUCUAAUAUAUAGGACAAGUGAUUUUGACUUGACUUAAACCCUACGGAAAUAAGAUUUUGUUUGUAGAUGCAUUUGUAUGGUGAAACUGGAGCAAAAGUCUUCAGCUUAGCGGUAUGUAUCAGCAGGGAGCUUUGAAGGCAGCAUCCAUGCCUGGCCCCUCCUGAAGAGCUCAACAGGUAGGGGUUGGUCGGGACAUUGAGAUUUGUAACAGCAGCCUCCCUACUCCCCAGUAAACGGGGAUCGUAAGGCACAGCCGAGGCUGAGACUGCUGUGGGGUAGUCUAGGCCGCCUGCUGGAAUGUCGGUCGGUGCUGCAUUGAGCGCUGUCUUUCAAGUGGUUGCGUGGGAGACCUGCACUUGCUGUGUGCUACCUUGACUGAGGACUUUUGAGGAAAUUCUGUUUGACAAUUACUUUAAGGUCCAGCGUGACACCCUCCCUCAGACUUAGUCUCUAGUGACUUUCUGAUGGGAGCGCCUCUGCUUCAUCAAGGAUUGGAGGCACUUAGCUCUCAACAAACUUAGGUCGCUUUUUUUCCUCCACAGUUUUGUUACCUCCCUUAUUUGCCAGGCUUGGCUUUGAGUGAAUCUUGGCUUUUUUGGGGUUGUGGGGGGCUCUCUGAUUCAUUCAGCAGAUCUUCACUGAGUGGCAGAUGUGUGCAAAGUGCUUGGGAUGCCAAAGACAAGUGUGUCGUCUGUAUUUAGUGUUGGGACAGACAGUGAUUGAGACAACAGAUUUAAUCUUCACUGAUGACAGUGAUGAUGCCACGAAAGACAUGGGCGCUGACAGAGGGUGGCUGCUGGUGUAGGCAGGAUGGUUAGGGACCUCCUUUCUCAGAACUGACCGGGAAGGGAUGGUGGGGACCAGGCCAUUUGGGGCCUCACAGAUCAGGGCUGAUGAGUUUGGCUCCAUUUAUGCUUGACUCAGUUUAUUUGAGGGUGGGAGCACUCCUGUUUCUCAGAAUUCCCUGUGCCUAACCCCAGGCGUGGCAGAUAAUACUCGCUCAGUAAAUGUUUAUUGAACAAAUGAUUGAUUGAGAGUGAUGGAACACACAGAACUGUGGGUCUGGGAGCAGGAGCGCGAGGCCUGUCUCUGAAUGCAGCCUGGACAAUGUGCCCUUCUCCUCAUCCGCCAGGUGAGACCAGCAGGAGAAAGCCAUCUCAGCAGUGGUUGGUGGUUGUAUUUACAGUUAAAUUUUAUUUUGAGAUGCUCAUAGUUUCACAUGCAGUUGAAAGAAUACAGAGAGAUCCUGUGUCCCCUUCUCCCAGCUGCCCCCUGGGUAACAUCUGGUGAAAUUCAACGCACUCUCAGCACCAGGAUCGGGGCACUGAUACUGCCAGGACACAGAACAUCAGGACGGCUCCGUCCCCGUGCAAAUCCGUCAUGUCGGCCUUUUAUAGUCCCACACACACCGCUAAUCUGUUCUCUAUUUUUGUGAUUUUGUAUUUCAAGGGUGUUGUGUGCAUGGGGUCAUGGAGUGAGUGGCCCUUUGGGGUUGGCUGUUUUCCUUCAGUGUGAUUCCCUAGAGCGUUCUCAGUCCCGCCAGUCAAGUUUCUUCCUUUUGCUGCUGAGUGGUAUUUUGCGGCCUGGCUGGCCUGCAGCUUGUUUAACCAUUCACCUGUUAAAAGACACCUGGGCUGCGUCCAGAUUUUAGUUGUUACAAAUAAAUGUUGCUCUCAACAGUCCUGAGCAGGUUUUUGUUGAAUAUAAGUUUUCAUUUCUCUGAUAUAAAUGCCCAAGAGUACAACUUCUGGGUCAUAGGGUAGUUACGUAUUCAGCUUUAUUAAAAAGUGCCUGUUUUCCAGAGUGGCCAUACAGUGGUUUUUGUUUGUUCUUUUAAAUGACUUAACAAUGGAAGGAAAGACGCUUCUGCAUGGCCUGGCAUAGAAAGCCCAUGGAGAGCCGCCCUGUGGGUGGGGAAGCGGGUGACGGGAGCCCCACUGCUUACCAGAAACCCGAGUGAAACUGCGUCUUUCCAGUCCCAAGAUUCUCCUUUUUUGCUAAAGGCAUCAGAAGAGAUGAAAGCAUUUCUACCACCCACAUUUCGAGGACACUCCUAGCUUUUACUUUAGAGUUGGGAGAGAGGUUUGGUUUUCAUUGUCAUUUAAAUCCUGUUGGGUUUCAGCAGAGCCUGAUCUUUAGGGCCCUGGGUGCAGCUGUUGUCUGGAGAUGCAGAUCACUGUCUGCUGAAAAGAGCCCUCCUGCUGGGGUUAGGGAUCUCCUGAUUGAGGCAUGGAUCCAAGGGCUUCUUUCUUUGUUCUCUGAUUCCCUGAGGCUCUUCCUUGUGUGUGUGGUGCGUGUGCACUCGUGUGAGCGCACCAGGAACUAUGACAGCAAUCAACGGGUAUGACUGGGGGUGGGGAGCAGAGGCAGCAUGGCCAGGAAUCUAUACUCGAGCUACUAAGAGGAAGGAAGUCGCAGCAAAAAUAGCCUGGGUGGGGUGGUAGAAAAUAUUAAGGGGAAAAUGAGAUGACUGGGGUGGCGUUGAAGAAGAGCUGCUUAAAGAGAAACAGGGACACACGCUGGGUAAGGAAUCGCAUGCUGUUGAAACUGACGGUGUGGAAGGAAAGUGAGGUGGCGGCGGCUGGGCUGUGGUAGAGGAAGCCGAUCACCAGUGAGUGAAAAGGGAACUAGGGUACCCACGCGUUUGUGUUUUUUAUUUAAACUUUGGCUAAGUUUUGCUAGGAGCGUUUUGCCUUUUUUUCUCAGACCUUCUACUCCUGUCGUUCUCCCCUAAGUUCUGGGCAUGUGGCUUCUUCUCUACCUACCAGGGUAGCCUGUCAUUGCUUUAAAGGACAAAAUGAAAUCCCUGAUGGGCAAAAUAUGUCCCCCCUCUUCCCCCAGCUUUUGGUCGGCUUUGCUCACCCACCAACAGCUAGGAGCUGGAAGGCUCAGAAGAGCUGGGGUGGGCAUGGGAGAGACAGAGGAACCCCGGUGGCUGGAAACACAGUUCCUUCCCAGGGUCUCUUCAGCUUGCUGGUUGGACCUCUUAGCCUGCUUAUGAAGCCUGAAUUGACAUCAUGCCAACUGGUCUCCUGCUGAUAAGUGAUUCCUUAACUUCCUCGGGAGCAGCAGAAACUUGUUUUGAAAAAAAUCAGAUUCUAAAUCUUUACAGCUGUUUACUUCUGCAAGCACAAUGGCCGUAGUAAGGAAUUCAAGUCACAGCGCAGCCGUGGCAGGGAAGGCUCUGCAUGGAGUCACAGGACAAAGCCUGUCCUGGAAACGUGCUGGAAGGAAGUCGGCCUCAUUCUUUACGACGGGCAGCAGCUCCAAAUGAGAAACCAAGGGGCUUGGCUCUGGGUCAGUAGCAUCUGCCUGGCAUGCGGUGCCAGCUGUGGAGACCAGUGAGGUGGCAGCAGCUGCACUGGGCUCCUGGGGUGUGCGUGGGGACCUCAGGGGUUUAGGAGCUGAUAUACUUUUGGUUCUCAUCAUCUUGUGUGUUCCUUGCAGACACAGAAUGUUCAGCUUAACAAAGAAAUGACACUUGCCAGCAACCGGAGCCUGGCAGAAGGAAACCUUUUGUACCAGCCCCAGCUGGACACGUUGAAAGCACGCUUGACCCAGAAAUACCAGGAACUCCAGGUUCUCUUUGAAGCCUAUCAGAUAAAGAAGACCAAAUUAGGUAACUUUUUAAGGGUGAUCAUUCGAGAAUAAAGAGUUGAGAGAAGGACACAUUUUCAAGCUAUUGCCCUACCAGGAAAGAAAUAUUACGGAAAAAUUUCAGGUUAAGAUAGCGACUCUACUGCAAUGAACAAAUAGCUUAUGUAUAUUAUUUAUUUAUUUUUAGAGACAGGGUCUUGCUCUGUCAGACUGGAGUGCAGUGGCGCAACCAUGGCUCAGCACGACCUCCUGGGCUCAGGUGAUCCUCCUGUCUCAGCCUCCUGAGUAGCUGGGACCACAGGUGUGCACUACCCCAAGCAGGCUAGUUUUUCAUUUUUUUGCAGAGAGGUUGUCUUGCUAUGUUGCCCAGGCUGGUCUUGAACUCAAGCCAUCCUCCUGCCUUUGCCUCACAAAGUGCUGCUAUUACAGACAUGAGCCACUGUAUUGGACUAGUUUAUGUAUGGAAUAUGGAGGGCCCCCAGACCUGCGGCCUCUCUGCACUUGCGGUUCGAGAGGGCAGGGUGUAUAGCAGGACUGCCCCCUCCUCCCAGUGGCCCUGACUGGUGGCGGUGACUGCUGAGGUCAGCCCAGGUCCACACGCACCUCCAGGGUCUGCAGUGUGAAGCAGGUUGCAGAAACGUGGGUACCUCGGGGCAGUUACCAGAAAAGGGGCUGGAGAUUAGGAGGAAGCCAGCCAGUUUAGCAGUCACCAGUUUAGAAGAGGAGACUUAACCACUUUUUAAAUUCAAGACCCCACCUUCUCUAAACAGCAUAGAAAAAGCUUUCUGAAUUAUGAUAUUAAACAGAUGUCUUAUGACGUUUGCCCGUUUGUCUUAUGCUGUUUGUUAAUGGU